AGGGUUAUAAUUCAUUGGCAGAGCAUCUACUUUCCAUGCAGAAGGUCCCAGGUUCAAUCACUGGCAUCUCUG